UUCAACUCUAAAAAUCACAGUAUAUGUUAUAGUUUCUUUUUGAUUAAUAUCCUAGUUAUUAAAUUCAAAUCUAAGUUUCUGCUUCUUUUGUUCUAGGUCACUCCAGAAACUUCCACCUGAAGACAAAAUAUUUGGAGGAACAACUGUGACUGACACAGCCUGGCAGGAACCCAGCAAGACUGUGCAUGAUUCCCACCUCAGGAGGCCCUGUCAACUGACAGAUCUAAUAAAUGAAGAUGGUUUUCUUUUGAGGAGAAACAAACAUAUUGUUCAAGAAAAAGAGUCACAUGAGACCCCGUAUCAGGUGAGCGAUAUGAAGAGUUGGCAUUUACGUGAUGUUGGGAAAACUGCUCUAUAGCUGAGCUCUAUGAUCCAGCCAGCACAGUGCCUAGUACUUCGAUAGCUAGCGAGCGAUUUUGUAUUUAGAUGUUCUUUGUUGUUUUUUUAAUUGCUGAGCUCAUGUUCUUGUGAAUUGGGAUACAAAUGAAAAAGAAAAAAAAAUCAAAUGUCGCCUUGAGAUAAUAAACCAUUAUGAUUAUGCAGAACACCAUGUUCAGCAACCUUUUGUCAAGUACCUCCGGGACUGUUAAAUUACUACGCGGGGAGUAUUUCUGAUGAGACCUCUGUUAACUGCUUCGAGAUCUUUGGCAUCCUUCAGUGUGGAGCACAUGCCUCCUUAUGUUCACAUCCGACAGAAACUCAUCUACUGUGACUCCCAGUUUAGCCCUUUGAAAAUUGAUUUGAUUACUGUAAGAAUUCAAGCAACCAAGAUGUGUGAAUGUUGAGUCUCCCUAGUCACAAUCAGUAUUAGUUCACAGCCAAGUAGUUGCU